UACUGCCUUGGAAGAUCAGCGGCAUAAGGAGCUAGAAGCUGAUAAUGUGACUCUCCACACAACCCCUAUCUUGAAAACAUCAUGGGGAAUGGAAAAGCAUGGUAGUGAGCUCUUUACCCAUGAGGUCUUUGAGGAAUUCCAGCAGGAGCUGCUAGCUGCUAGAGAGUAUUGUGUCUUUGAAAGCAUGCAAAAAGAUGGGGACUUAAAAAUCAUGAGAGUAGCUGAUAAUUCCAAAAAAGUAAGGCUGGUACAGCUCAAUACAUCCACAAUGUUUACUUCCUGCUCAUGCAUGCUCUUUGGAACGCACGGCAUACCAUGCCGGCAUAUUAUCCAUGCCCUUAGAAGUGCCAAGAUCGAUGAACUCCCAAGCAUGUAUGUACUGAGAAGGUUUAGGAAGGACUGCAAGAGAGAAUCUGUAUUGAGUGCAGAUGGUAUCUUGUUGGAGGAAAGGGCCAAUAGUCCGGUGAACCCAGUGCUGCAAAAAUUAAUUUCAGACACAUCCAAUAAGAUAGAAUCUUUGUUCGUUCAAGCUAAGAAUUCACUUGAUGCUAUGCAAAUUUUAAGGGACGGUGUGUUUGCACUUGGGGACAGAAUAAGCGAUAUGAUUCCAGCCAAAGAACUAAGUAGAACUAAAGAGUUUGAAGACUUUUUAGGAUGUCCGAUUCCGAUGCAAGUUGAAAUCCAUCCCCCCAAUGAUAUCCGCUCAAAGGGAAGGAUCAAACGAAUCAAGGGGCAUGCUGACAAGGGGCGACAACAAAACAAAAAUGAGCAAAGAAAGAAGAAAGUGCUACAGCCACGAAGGUGCAGCACAUGCAAGAAGGUCGGAUUGCAUGAUCGUAGAACUUGUCCCGAGAAAGCAAACAACCAAUGAGUUAGACUUACAGUUGGAGGGAGCAAGGUAGUUUGGAUGCUGCAAUGUGAAAAGGAGUGCUGCUAUGAAGCUGUCUUGCUUUUGUAUGGGUAGUACUAGUACACUAAAUAAAUGCACCUCAUGCAAGCCAAGUUUGUAUGAUUGUAUAUUGCUCGUCGCAGACAUUUAAUGUAAUUAAGAUUUGAUGUACUAUAAAAAUACCAUUUAGUUGUAACCUUGAGCCAUAGCAAUACUCCAUGGUUUCCAGGUUCAUGUGA